rnacentral:rRNA from 1 species
UGGGGAAUAUUGCACAAUGGGCGCAAGCCUGAUGCAGCAACGCCGCGUGAGGGAUGACGGCCUUCGGGUUGUAAACCUCUUUUAGUAGGGAAGAAGCGAAAGUGACGGUACCUGCAGAAAAAGCACCGGCUAACUACGUGCCAGCAGCCGCGGUAAUACGUAGGGUGCGAGCGUUGUCCGGAAUUAUUGGGCGUAAAGAGCUCGUAGGCGGUCUGUCGCGUCUGCUGUGAAAACCCGAGGCUCAACCUCGGGCCUGCAGUGGGUACGGGCAGACUAGAGUGCGGUAGGGGAGAAUGGAAUUCCUGGUGUAGCGGUGGAAUGCGCAGAUAUCAGGAGGAACACCGAUGGCGAAGGCAGUUCUCUGGGCCGUAACUGACGCUGAGGAGCGAAAGCGUGGGGAGCGAACAGGAUUAGAUACCCUGGUAGUCCACGCCGUAAACGUUGGGCGCUAGAUGUGGGGACCAUUCCACGGUUUCCGUGUCGCAGCUAACGCAUUAAGCGCCCCGCCUGGGGAGUACGGCCGCAAGGCUAAAACU